rnacentral:rRNA from 1 species
AUUGAACGCUGGCGGCAUGCUUUACACAUGCAAGUCGAACGGUAACAGGCCGCAAGGUGCUGACGAGUGGCGGACGGGUGAGUAAUGCAUCGGAACGUGCCCAGUCGUGGGGGAUAACGCAGCGAAAGCUGUGCUAAUACCGCAUACGAUCUAUGGAUGAAAGCGGGGGACCGUAAGGCCUCGCGCGAUUGGAGCGGCCGAUGUCAGAUUAGGUAGUUGGUGGGGUAAAGGGUCACCAAGCCAACGAUCUGUAGCUGGUCUGAGAGGACGACCAGCCACACUGGGACUGAGACACGGCCCAGACUCCUACGGGAGGCAGCAGUGGGGAAUUUUGGACAAUGGGCGCAAGCCUGAUCCAGCAAUGCCGCGUGCAGGAAGAAGGCCUUCGGGUUGUAAACUGCUUUUGUACGGAACGAAACGGCGAGCUCUAAUACAGUUUGCUAAUGACGGUACCGUAAGAAUAAGCACCGGCUAACUACAUGCCAGCCGCCGCGGUAA